UACGGGGGGGGCAAGCGUUGUUCGGAAUUACUGGGCGUAAAGGGCUCGUAGGCGGCCAACUAAGUCAGACGUGAAAUCCCUCGGCUUAACCGGGGAACUGCGUCUGAUACUGGAUGGCUUGAGAUUGGGAGAGGGAUGCGGAAUUCCAGGUGUAGCGGUGAAAUGCGUAGAUAUCUGGAGGAACACCGGUGGCGAAGGCGGCAUCCUGGACCAACACUGACGCUGAGUGAGCGAAAGCCAGGGGAGCAAGCGGG
rnacentral:rRNA from 1 species